rnacentral:snoRNA from 12 species
AAAAAUGCCAGCUAAGUUACGUCUGUAUAUACAGACGCGUCAGAGGCUGGCUAGAACGCGACUGAUUGAGUUCCCAGAGCAAUCUGGGUGAUUGGCAGUCAUACAAU